rnacentral:rRNA from 1 species
GACGAACGCUGGCGGCGUGCUUAACACAUGCCAGUCGAACGAAGAGCGAUGGAAGCUUGCUUCUAUCAAUCUUAGUGGCGAACGGGUGAGUAACGCGUAAUCAACCUGCCCUUCAGAGGGGGACAACAGUUGGAAACGACUGCUAAUACCGCAUACGAUCUAACCUCGGCAUCGAGGAUGGAUGAAAGGUGGCCUCUAUUUAUAAGCUAUCACUGAAGGAGGGGAUUGCGUCUGAUUAGCUAGUUGGAGGGGUAACGGCCCACCAAGGCGAUGAUCAGUAGCCGGUCUGAGAGGAUGAACGGCCACAUUGGGACUGAGACACGGCCCAGACUCCUACGGGAGGCAGCAGUGGGGAAUCUUCCGCAAUGGACGAAAGUCUGACGGAGCAACGCCGCGUGAGUGAUGACGGCCUUCGGGUUGUAAAGCUCUGUUAAUCGGGACGAAAGGCCUUCUUGCGAAUAGUUAGAAGGAUUGACGGUACCGGAAUAGAAAGCCACGGCUAACUACGUG